AUCCAGCUGACGAAUCCCAAACAGGACGAAACGCUCGUCUUGGAU
rnacentral:hammerhead_ribozyme from 1 species